UACGAAGGGUGCAAGCGUUACUCGGAAUUACUGGGCGUAAAGCGUGCGUAGGUGGUUUGUUAAGUCUGAUGUGAAAGCCCUGGGCUCAACCUGGGAAUUGCAUUGGAUACUGGCAGGCUAGAGUGCGGUAGAGGAUGGCGGAAUUCCCGGUGUAGCAGUGAAAUGCGUAGAGAUCGGGAGGAACAUCUGUGGCGAAGGCGGCCAUCUGGACCAGCACUGACGCUGAGGCGCGAAAGCGUGGGGAGCAAACAGG
rnacentral:rRNA from 1 species